GGACCAGUAGCAUAACGGUUAAUGCUGCCUGAGAUAUGUAAUGUAACACCUUCCCAGGGGUUCCCCGUUCGACUCGGGGCUGAUCCA